rnacentral:rRNA from 1 species
GACGAACGCUGGCGGCGUGCUUAACACAUGCAAGUCGAACGAACUCGACCUUCGGGUCACAUGAGUGAGUGGCGAACGGGUGAGUAACACGUGAGAAACCUACCCCAAAGUUUGGAAUAACUCGAAGAAAUUCAAGCUAAUACCAGAUGCCCUCUAUUGGUCGAAUGGUCAACUGAGGAAAGAUUUAUCGCUUUGGGAGGGUCUCGCGGCCUAUCAGCUAGUUGGUGAGGUAAUGGCUCACCAAGGCAUCGACGGGUAACUAGUCUGAGAGGACGAAUAGUCACACUGGAACUGAGACACGGUCCAGACUCCUACGGGAGGCAGCAGUGGGGAAUAUUGCACAAUGGGCGAAAGCCUGAUGCAGCGACGCCGCGUGGGGGAUGAAGGCCUUAGGGUCGUAAACCCCUUUCGCUAGGGAAGAAAAUGACGGUACCUAGAGAAGAAGCUCCGGCCAACUACG